rnacentral:rRNA from 1 species
UGGCACAAUAGAUGUGUGGGAGAAAAAACCCCCGCAUAAGUCGAAGGUGUGACGCGGACCGAAAAAGAGUAGGGAAGCUGUUAAGCAAGCCGUCAAGAAAAGCUGCUAUUGUUUCAUUAUGGCCCGUACCGUAAACCGACACAGGUGGAUGGGGAGAGAAUCCUAAGGCCGGCGGAAGAAGUAUUGUUAAGGAACUCGGCAAAAUGACCCCGUAACUUCGGGAGAAGGGGUGCCUGCGAGAGCAGGCCGCAGAGAAGAGGCCCAAGCAACUGUUUAGCAAAAACACAGGUCUAUGCAAAACCGAAAGGUGAGGUAUAUGGGCUGACGCCUGCCCGGCGCUGGGAGGUUAAGGGGAGUGGUCAGGAAACGAAGCCACGAACUUAAGCCCCAGUAAACGGCGGCCGUAACUAUAACGGUCCUAAGGUAGCGAAAUUCCUUGUCGGGUAAGUUCCGACCCGCACGAAAGGCGUAAUGAUUUGGGCGCUGUCUCGACAAUACAUCCGGUGAAAUUGAAGUGCCAGUGAAGAUGCUGGCUACCUGCGCCAGGACGGAAAGACCCCAUGGAGCUUUACUCCAGCUUGAUACUGGGACCCGGUAUUGCAUGUACAGGAUAGGUGGGAGGCUAGGAAAUGUGGACGCCAGUCUGCAUGGAGCCGCCGUUGGGAUACCACCCUUGUGGUGCUGGGUUUCUAACCAGAGGCCGUGAACCGGUCUGGGGACAAUGUCAGGUGGGGAGUUUGACUGGGGCGGUCGCCUCCGAAAGGGUAUCGGAGGCGCCCAAAGGUUCCCUCAGAAUGGUUGGAAACCAUUCGAAGAGUGCAAAGGCAGAAGGGAGCUUGACUGCGACACCGACGGGUGGAGCAGGUACGAAAGUAGGGCUUAGUGAUCCGGUGGAAUUUAAGUGGGAAUGCCAUCGCUCAACGGAUAAAAGCUACCCUGGGAUAACAGGCUGAUCACUCCCAAGAGUUCACAUCGACGGAGUGGUUUGGCACCUCGAUGUCGGCUCAUCGCAUCCUGGGGCUGAAGUCGGUCCCAAAGGUUGGGCUGUUCGCCCAUUAAAGCGGUACGCGAGCUGGGUUCAGAACGUCGUGAGACAGUUCGGUCCCUAUCCGGCGUGGGCGUAGGAUAUCUGAGAGGAGCUGUCCUUAGUACGAGAGGACCGGGAUGGACUGACCUCUGGUGUACCGGUUGGCGAUCAACGCCACGGCCGGGUAGCCAUGUCGGGACGGGAUAAACGCUGAAGGCAUCUAAGCGUGAAGCCCCCCUCAAGAUGAGAUAUCCCAUCGUAAGAGUAAGACCCCUUGAAGACGACGAGGUUGAUAGGGCAGGGGUGGAAGUGCUGUAAAGCAUGGAGCUGACUGCUACUAAUUGGUCGAGG